rnacentral:lncRNA from 10 species
CUGUAAUCCCAGCACUUUGGGAGGCCGAGGAUUACAGGAAUGAGCCACCACGACCGACCGAGACUAUGCAUUUAAAAGAUUAAUGUUAUAAAAACAUUUUGAUAAUCCAAGUCUGUUGAAAUUCUUCCACGUGGCCCAGUUUUACAUACGAUUCCACAUGGCAUGAUUUGUUUCAUAAGAAUAUGAUGGAUGAAGUACAUGACUGAGGUAUUAUUAAAUGUUAAUGAUGUCUAUUCUAUUGUUUCAGAUGAAAUACGAAUUGGCUUAAGAGAAAAUAGUUCCAUUAAAAUGGGGUAAGAUCCCCGACACAUGUUCUUUUUCACCCUUGUACCUCCAAACACUGAGAAUAGUUCUUGUUACAGAUGUUGUAUUAAUAUCUGCUAAAUUAAUCUAAGAUGCGGAUGCCAGGAUAAUAAUUAAGGAAGAAGGCACUGGAAGUUGGAGAGUUCUUCUAUCUCCCUGUCAUGACGCCCGCCCAAAAUGAAAAUAAAAUAUAAGCUUCUCAAAAUAACCCAGAAAUAGUGGCUCACGCCUGUAAUCCCAGCACUUUGGGAGGCCGAGGCGGGCGGAUCACGAGGUCAGGAGAUCGAGACCAUCCUGACUAACACGGUGAAAUCCCGUCUCUAUUAAAAAUACAAAAAAUUAACCUGGCGUGGUGGCACGCGCCUGUAGUCCUAGCUACUC